UUACACUCAUGGCUUGAUAAGCCAUUUUGGAUCAUCUGUUUGUUGUUUAGAAUCAUAGAAUCAUAGAAUCACCAAAGUUGGAAACUCCAAGAUCAUCUUGUCUAACAGUCCACCUACCACCAAUAUUUCCCCACUAAACCAUAUCCCUUAGGACAACAUCUUGAACACCUGCAGAGACGGUGACUCAACCACCUCCCUGAGUAGCCUGUUCCAUCACCUAAGAUUGCCCUCCUCCUUUUCAAUUUAGGUACAGCUAUCUGAAAGCAUCUUCCUUGUGGUCCUUCUGACACCCACUCAAGCUACAAGAUGUUCUUUACCCUAUUCCAGAAGCCCUGUCCUGGAUGGAAGCAAAGCUACCUGCUGUCAGUGUUGGUAAUUCACAACAACUCUGGAAACCUUAGAAGAAGAGGUAACAUGGGCAUCUCUGCAUCAUACCUCCAAUGUUUAUCAGCCCUUUCUGAAUUGCACUGCUGCUCUCUUGAAGGCUUGACAGAAGCUACAUACUGUGUGCCUGAGGUGCGGUAGCAUACAAACUCGUGCCAGAGAAGGCAGGGAUAAGAGCUACAGGCUGGCUCAUAAGGUCCACCACAGGUGGUCCUGUUGUAGGUCACAUUGGUUGAACAGUGUUGUUACCAAACUGUGAUAUUUCCAGUGAGUUAUUCUGACAGCCAGAUAAACCUUCAGCUAAAUAAAUAACAGGCAUAGCCUUCAACCAACCAAAUGCAACUGUUUAAUUAAUGUGCUUAUUCUAAGUAAAUUAAAAGGCAAGGGAUUGGGAGGGGGGGAGCCUUCUGAUCUUUUAAGGAUGAAUAAAGCAGAAAAUGCAAUACCAGAUCUAAACAUGAAAGCGAGUGAAUCCUCUUAAAGCUGAGGAUGCAACAGUAAUGCAAAGCAGGAAAACAGCUUUUCAUUUUCAGCCAUAGACUCAAUCUGGUGGACUAAUAGUAAGAAGAUACAAAUUGUAAUAAAUUGUGGUUUUUGCAGGAAGGCUUGAACAUCACACCAAAACAAGAACAAUUUCCACUUUCUCACUGCCUGUCUUACAGCAAAGAAGGGAGAUCAAGACCAGUAACCAUACAGGACAAAAUCUGACUGUAAGAAUCUGUUGCAAUUGUAACUAAGAACAUUUUUCACUUUUUGUGAGAUAACUAGAAUACCUUCUCUCCAGUGCUUUGUAAGGGUUAUCGUAUGGGUGCCUCUCUGUCUAGAGUAUAGUACAGAUGUAGCAUCGACUCUUUUCCUGCCUGCUGAGAAGGGAAAUACCCACUUUGUAGUGGGUUGAAAGUAUUAGACACAGACACAAAUCAAAAGCCAUUAAAAAAAAAAAAAAAGUAGAAAAGCCAUAUCCAUCUGAAGUCCUUCUUCUGAGAAUUGAUGUAGAAGGUUUUCUGGAGGUGGAGAAAGCUCUUCCACCUCCAGAGCCCCACUCACAUGUUCCUUAGAGGCACACAUAUCUAUGCAAUGAGCGUGUAAGCUGAAAAGAGACCAGAAUGGCUGUAGCAAGUUUCAUGCAGGCAUCCUUCAGAACCUCCAAUCUGCCUCUUCAAACAGUAGCACCAGCAGCAGAAAGUCCUGUUUUUUAUCAGAGCAUUGAGCAGAACAGGAGGAGCUGUAAGAUGCUGCUAUCUGUACUACUAAAGGUGGUGGAGCAGGCAGGCAGGACCCGCAGCUAUGUUCUGUUAGACUGAC
ensembl:lncRNA